UACGAAGGGUGCAAACGUUAUUCGGAAUCACUGGGCGUAAAGGGUGCGUAGAUGGCAUGUUAAGUUCGUUGUUAAAGGCUCCGGCCUAACCGGAGUAUUGCGAUGAAAACUGGCGUACUAGAGGGUGAGAGAGAGAAGUGGAAUUCCUGGAGUAGCGGUAAAAUGCGUGGAUCUCAGGAGGAACACCAAUGGCGAAGGCAGCUUCUUGGCUCAUUCCUGACAUUGAGGCACGAAAGCGUGGGGAGCAAACAGG
rnacentral:rRNA from 2 species